CCUGGCGUCAGGACGAACGCUGGCGGCGUGCCUAAUACAUGCAAGUCGAGCGGACUAAUGGGAGCUUGCUCCCAGAGGUUAGCGGCGGACGGGUGAGUAACACGUGGGCAACCUGCCCUGUAGACUGGGAUAACACCGAGAAAUCGGUGCUAAUACCGGAUAACUUCCGAGUUCACCUGAACUCGGAUUAAAAGAUGGCUCCGGCUAUCACUACAGGAUGGGCCCGCGGCGCAUUAGCUAGUUGGUGAGGAAAUGGCUCACCAAGGCGACGAUGCGUAGCCGACCUGAGAGGGUGAUCGGCCACACUGGGACUGAGACACGGCCCAGACUCCUACGGGAGGCAGCAGUAGGGAAUCUUCCGCAAUGGACGAAAGUCUGACGGAGCAACGCCGCGUGAGUGAUGAAGGAUUUCGGUUCGUAAAGCUCUGUUGUUAGGGAAGAACAAGUGCCGUUCGAAUAGGGCGGCACCUUGACGGUACCUAACCAGAAAGCCACGGCUAACUACGUG
rnacentral:rRNA from 1 species